rnacentral:rRNA from 1 species
GACGAACCGUGCGAACGUUGUUCGGAAUCACUGGGCUUAAAGGGCGCGUAGGCGGGCCUUCAAGUCCGGGGUGAAAUCCUCCAGCCUAACUGGAGAAGAGCCUCGGAGACUGAGGGCCUCGAGGGAGGUAGGGGCAAGCGGAACUAUGGGUGGAGCGGUGAAAUGCAUUGAUAUCCAUAGGAACUCCGGUGGCGAAGGCGGCUUGCUGGACCUCGUUCUGACGCUGAGGCGCGGAAAGCCAGGGGAGC